UACGUAGGGUGCAAGCGUUAAUCGGAAUUACUGGGCGUAAAGCGUGCCGCAGGCGGCUUCUCAAGUCAGGGGUGAAAGCCCAGAGCUCAACUCUGGAAUUGCCUUUGAGACUGAGUGGCUUGAGUACGAGAGAGGUGAGUGGAAUUCCCAGUGUAGAGGUGAAAUUCGUAGAUAUUGGGAAGAACACCGGUGGCGAAGGCGGCUCACUGGCUCGUAACUGACGCUCAUGCACGACAGCGUGGGGAUCAAACAGG
rnacentral:rRNA from 1 species